rnacentral:rRNA from 1 species
AACGAACGCUGGCGGCAUGCCUAACACAUGCAAGUCGAACGAGACCUUCGGGUCUAGUGGCGCACGGGUGCGUAACGCGUGGGAAUCUGCCUAAAGGUUCGGAAUAACUCAGGGAAACUUGAGCUAAUACCGGAUGAUGUCUUCGGACCAAAGAUUUAUCGCCUUUAGAUGAGCCCGCGUAGGAUUAGCUAGUUGGUGGGGUAAAGGCCCACCAAGGCGACGAUCCUUAGCUGGUCUGAGAGGAUGAUCAGCCACACUGGGACUGAGACACGGCCCAGACUCCUACGGGAGGCAGCAGUGGGGAAUAUUGGACAAUGGGCGAAAGCCUGAUCCAGCAAUGCCGCGUGAGUGAUGAAGGCCUUAGGGUUGUAAAGCUCUUUUACCCGGGAUGAUAAUGACGGUACCGGGAGAAUAAGCCCCGGCUAACUCCGUGCCAGCCGCCGCGGUAAGAC